CAGUAGCCGCGGUAAUACGUAGGGUGCGAGCGUUAAUCGGAAUUACUGGGCGUAAAGCGUGCGCAGGCGGUUGUGUAAGACAGGUGUGAAAUCCCCGGGCUUAACCUGGGAACUGCGCUUGUGACUGCACAGCUAGAGUAUGGCAGAGGGGGGUGGAAUUCCACGUGUAGCAGUGAAAUGCGUAGAGAUGUGGAGGAACACCGAUGGCGAAGGCAGCCCCCUGGGCCAAUACUGACGCUCAUGCACGAAAGCGUGGGGAGCAAACAGGAUUAGAGACCCGAGUAGUCCCUGUCUCUUAUAA
rnacentral:rRNA from 1 species